AGAGUUUGAUCAUGGCUCAGGAUGAACGCUGGCGGCGUGCCUAACACAUGCAAGUCGAACGGAGUGUUCUUCACCGAUGAAAGAUUCGUCUGGAUUCACCGAAGGACACUUAGUGGCGGACGGGUGAGUAACGCGUGGGUAACCUGCCCUGUACAGGGGAAUAGCAGUUGGAAACGACUGAUAAUACCGCAUAAGCGCACAGUACCGCAUGGUACAGUGUGAAAAACUCCGGUGGAUCAGGAUGGUCCCGCGUCCGAUUAGCCAGUUGGCGGGGUAACGGCCCACCAAAGCGACGAUCGGUAGCCGACCUGAGAGGGUGACCGGCCACAUUGGGACUGAGACACGGCCCAAACUCCUACGGGAGGCAGCAGUGGGGAAUAUUGCACAAUGGGCGAAAGCCUGAUGCAGCGACGCCGCGUGAGUGAAGAAGUAUUUCGGUAUGUAAAGCUCUGUCAGCAGGGAAGAAAAUGACGGUACCUGCACAAGAAGCCCCGGCUAACUACGUGCCAGCAGCCGCGGUAAUACGUAGGGGGCAAGCGUUAUCCGGAUUUACUGGGUGUAAAGGGAGCGUAGAUGGAAUGGCAAGUCAGAUGUGAAAGGCAUGGGCUCAACCCGUGGACUGCAUUUGAAACUGUCAAUCUGGAGUGUCGGAGGGGCAAGCGGAAUUCCUGGUGUAGCGGUGAAAUGCGUAGAUAUCAGGAGGAACACCGGUGGCGAAGGCGGCUUGCUGGACGAUUACUGACAUUGAGGCUCGAAAGCGUGGGGAGCAAACAGGAUUAGAUACCCUGGUAGUCCACGCGGUAAACGAUGAAUACUAGGUGCUGGGUGCCACAGGCAUUCGGUGCCGCCGCUAACGCAUUAAGUAUUCCACCUGGGGAGUACGUUCGCAAGAAUGAAACUCAAAGGAAUUGACGGGGACCCGCACAAGCGGUGGAGCAUGUGGUUUAAUUCGAAGCAACGCGAAGAACCUUACCAAGUCUUGACAUCUCCCUGACCGUCCUGGAAACAGGCCUUCUCUUCGGAGCAGGGAUGACAGGUGGUGCAUGGUUGUCGUCAGCUCGUGUCGUGAGAUGUUGGGUUAAGUCCCGCAACGAGCGCAACCCUUAUGUUCAGUAGCCAGCGGUUCGGCCGGGCACUCUGGGCAGACUGCCAGGGAUAACCUGGAGGAAGGCGGGGAUGACGUCAAAUCAUCAUGCCCCUUAUGAUUUGGGCUACACACGUGCUACAAUGGCGUUUAACAGAGGGAAGCAAACCCGCGAGGGGGAGCCAAUCCAAAAACAACGUCCCAGUUCGGACUGUAGUCUGCAACCCGACUACACGAAGCUGGAAUCGCUAGUAAUCGCGAAUCAGAAUGUCGCGGUGAAUACGUUCCCGGGUCU
rnacentral:rRNA from 1 species